CAGGCCUUCGGGCGCUGACGAGUGGCGAACGGGUGAGUAAUGCAUCGGAACGUGCCCAGUCGUGGGGGAUAACGCAGCGAAAGCUGUGCUAAUACCGCAUACGAUCUGUGGAUGAAAGCGGGGGACCUUCGGGCCUCGCGCGAUUGGAGCGGCCGAUGUCAGAUUAGGUAGUUGGUGGGGUAAAGGCUCACCAAGCCAACGAUCUGUAGCUGGUCUGAGAGGACGACCAGCCACACUGGGACUGAGACACGGCCCAGACUCCUACGGGAGGCAGCAGUGGGGAAUUUUGGACAAUGGGCGCAAGCCUGAUCCAGCAAUGCCGCGUGCAGGAAGAAGGCCUUCGGGUUGUAAACUGCUUUUGUACGGAACGAAACGGUCCUGGUUAAUACCUGGGGCUAAUGACGGUACCGUAAGAAUAAGCACCGGCUAACUACGUGCCAGCAGCCGCGGUAAUACGUAGGGUGCGAGCGUUAAUCGGAAUUACUGGGCGUAAAGCGUGCGCAGGCGGUGCUGUAAGACA
rnacentral:rRNA from 1 species